UCCUACGGGAGGCAGCAGUGGGGAAUAUUGCACAAUGGGCGCAAGCCUGAUGCAGCCAUGCCGCGUGUAUGAAGAAGGCCUUCGGGUUGUAAAGUWCUUUCAGCGGGGAGGAAGGGAGUAAAGUUAAUACCUUUGYUCMUUGACGUUAYCCGCAGAAGAAGCMCCGGCUAACUCCGUGCCAGCAGCCGCGGUAAUACGGAGGGUGCAAGCGUUAWUCGGAAUUACUGGGCGUAAAGCGCACGCAGGCGGUUUGUUAAGUCAGAUGUGAAAUCCCCGGGCUCAACCUGGGARCUGCAUYUGAUACUGGCAAGCUUGAGUCUCGUAGAGGGGGGUAGAAUUCCAGGUGUAGCGGUGAAAUGCGUAGAGAU
rnacentral:rRNA from 1 species